rnacentral:snRNA from 1 species
AUACUUCCCUGGCAGGGGAGAGACCAUGAUCACAAAGGUAGUUUUUCCAGGGUGAGGCUUAUCCAUUGCACUCCAGAUGUGCUGACAGACCCCUGUGAUUUCCCCAAAUGUGGGAAACUUGACUCCAUAAUUUGUGGUAGUGGGGGACUGCGUUCACUCUCUCCUCUG